rnacentral:rRNA from 1 species
GGCCCGCACAAGCGGUGGAGUAUGUGGUUUAAUUCGAUGCAACGCGAAGAACCUUACCAGGGUUUGACAUCCUGCGAAUCUCUUGGAAACUUGAGAGUGCCUUCGGGAGCGCAGUGACAGGUGGUGCAUGGCUGUCGUCAGCUCGUGUCGUGAGAUGUUGGGUUAAGUCCCGCAACGAGCGCAACCCACGUCUUUAGUUGCCAGCAUUUAGUUGGGCACUCUAGAGAGACCGCCGGUGAUAAACCGGAGAAGGUGUGGAUGACGUCAAGUCAUCAUGCCCCUUACAUCUGGGCUACACACGUACUACAAUGCUACGGACAAAGGGCAGCAAGUUCGCGAGGACAAGCAAAUCCCAUAAACGUGGCUCAGUUCAGA